UUCGCCCUUAGAGUUUGAUCCUGGCUCAGGACGAACGCUGGCGGCGCGCCUAACACAUGCAAGUCGAACGAGCGAGAGAGAGCUUGCUUUCUCGAGCGAGUGGCGAACGGGUGAGUAACGCGUGAGGAACCUGCCUCAAAGAGGGGGACAACAGUUGGAAACGACUGCUAAUACCGCAUAAGCCCACGGGUCGGCAUCGACCAGAGGGAAAAGGAGCAAUCCGCUUUGAGAUGGCCUCGCGUCCGAUUAGCUAGUUGGUGAGGUAAUGGCCCACCAAGGCAACGAUCGGUAGCCGGACUGAGAGGUUAAACGGCCACAUUGGGACUGAGACACGGCCCAGACUCCUACGGGAGGCAGCAGUGGGGAAUAUUGCACAAUGGGGGAAACCCUGAUGCAGCGACGCCGCGUGGAGGAAGAAGGUCUCCGGAUUGUAAACUCCUGUUGUUGGGGAAGAUAAUGACGGUACCCAACAAGGAAGUGACGGCUAACUACGUGCCAGCAGCCGCGGUAAAACGUAGGUCACAAGCGUUGUCCGGAAUUACUGGGUGUAAAGGGAGCGCAGGCGGGAAGACAAGUUGGAAGUGAAAUCUAUGGGCUCAACCCAUAAACUGCUUUCAAAACUGUUUUUCUUGAGUAGUGCAGAGGUAGGCGGAAUUCCCGGUGUAGCGGUGGAAUGCGUAGAUAUCGGGAGGAACACCAGUGGCGAAGGCGGCCUACUGGGCACCAACUGACGCUGAGGCUCGAAAGUGUGGGUAGCAAACAGGAUUAGAUACCCUGGUAGUCCACACCAUAAACGAUGAUUACUAGGUGUUGGAGGAUUGACCCCUUCAGUGCCGCAGUUAACACAAUAAGUAAUCCACCUGGGGAGUACGACCGCAAGGUUGAAACUCAAAGGAAUUGACGGGGGCCCGCACAAGCAGUGGAGUAUGUGGUUUAAUUCGACGCAACGCGAAGAACCUUACCAAGUCUUGACAUCCCUUGACAGACAUAGAAAUAUGUAAUCUCUUCGGAGCAAGGAGACAGGUGGUGCAUGGUUGUCGUCAGCUCGUGUCGUGAGAUGUUGGGUUAAGUCCCGCAACGAGCGCAACCCUUAUGGUCAGUUACUACGCAAGAGGACUCUGGCCAGACUGCCGUUGACAAAACGGAGGAAGGUGGGGAUGACGUCAAAUCAUCAUGCCCUUUAUGACUUGGGCUACACACGUACUACAAUGGCGUUAAACAAAGAGAAGCAAGACCGCGAGGUGGAGCAAAACUCAGAAACAACGUCCCAGUUCGGACUGCAGGCUGCAACUCGCCUGCACGAAGUCGGAAUUGCUAGUAAUCGUGGAUCAGCAUGCCACGGUGAAUACGUUCCCGGGCCUUGCACUCACCGCCCGUCA
rnacentral:rRNA from 1 species